GGGCAGAGAGACACCUAGGUUGUGGUGUUGUUCUUACAUCAGUCAGGGGCAGAGCACAUGGCAGGAGGCCUUUGCUCAUCCUAGCUUGAUGCCUGGCUUGGUGGCCAAAGCUGUUUCAUGCCUAGGGCACAUGAAAAACAAAAAAACAAAACACCAGAGUUGCAUGCUAAGCAGGUUCCCUGCCUUAAUGUAAUGUAUAGUUUAAAACUAGUGGGUGAGUAGAGAUGCUCAAUUUUAUUGUCUUAGAGGCGUCACUAAGUGGAGUAGAGGAAGGAAGUGGGACAGGGAGAUUAGGAGGAGGGAAACAGGAAAGGAUAAACUAUAGGCUGCUCUUUUAGUUGCGAUUAUGAUGUGUGAUGGAUUUGAAAAUGUCAAUAAAAAAUGACUUAAAAUUGAAUAAGAAAAAUUUCAAGUCACUAAAAAGUUACCACUCAGACCCGUGAUAUCUGACUGACCCUGCAGACAAAACAAUGGUCUUGAAACAUCACCCAGACAAGCGGAAAGCGGCUGGGGAACCCAUCAAAGAAGGGGACAACGACUACUUCACUUGUAUAACGAAAGCUUAUGAAAUGUUGUCUGAUCCAGUGAAAAGGCGGGCAUUUAACAGUGUAGAUCCUACUUUUGACAACUCAGUUCCUUCUAAAAGUGAAGCAAAGGAGAAUUUUUUCCAAGUGUUUUCUCCAGUGUUUGAAAGGAAUUCCAGAUGGUCAAAUAAGAAAAAUGUUCCCAAACUUGGUGAUAUGAACUCAUCAUUUGAAGAUGUAGAUGCAUUUUAUUCCUUCUGGUAUAAUUUUGAUUCUUGGAGAGAAUUUUCUUACUUAGAUGAAGAAGAAAAAGAAAAAGCAGAAUG
rnacentral:lncRNA from 1 species